AAAUUUCGACAUUGAUUGGUGGAAUUUGCUGUCUUCAUCUAAACUUUUCAUCUCCGCGUCUAUAAAUGCUUUUGUUUUAAUUAGAGAUUGGCCAAGUUUUGAUAUCGUUGUUGUUAGUCCAUCCGCAUCUACUGCAGCCGCUUUUUUCACGUUUUCCAACUCCUUGGUCAAACCAGAAACCACUUGUAGACCUAAUUGUCGAUAAUGUUCCGUUGAAUCGUCGGCGAAGUCCUCAAAAAUCGUAUCGUUGGAGACUAUGCUGGAUGAACUUCGACUUUGUCUAUCAGAACGAGCUGCUCGUAUGCCUUCUGAACGAAUAAUCUCUUGUACGACGAAGUGUAAGAGCGUAGUCUUGCCGUCAGUUCCUUUAACAUCUGCCAGUUUCAAGAGCGUGUCGAGCUUGAAUGCCUGAGCACCACCACGAUGAUGAAGAGGAAAGCAAAAAAGCAGAAACAAACGAAAAGGUUCGAAUCACGAUUCCCUACCCACACAUGUCAUUUAUCUAUUUUUCAUUUUAUGAUUCUGGGUUGAAUUGAAAAUGAAAGGAAGAAGAAAGAAUGUCGAUUCAUAAUAAUUAGAGAAAAGGGAAAAUUGGUUACCAUAUCUUUAUCCAAGUUCGAUGAUGUAUAGUAAUCGGCAUUGGUAAGAACCAUUUCGACCGUCUUCCUUCUGCCUUCUGAACUCGCAAUUGCCAAUGCACAAAGGAGAGUCACAAAAACAACCACAUAACCAGCUCUUCUUAAUUCCAUUUCUCUCUGAAUCACCAUCCCAUUCGUAUUCUUCUCUUCUCAUUUCAUCGAACUUGAAGAAAUCUCUACUCUUCAAUCCCCUCUAAAACCAACCCAUUCCUUUGAAUUCCAGAACCUUACCCCUUCCUGUAAAUGUAUUUACCCGACUUUGCCAAUAAUUCACAUAAAAGUUUCCCAAUCAAUGUUGAAACGCUCAGAAUUUCAUUGAUUGAAACGAGCGUUCAUAAAUGCCUAAAGAAAACAAAAAAAAUCAAUGGAACCAACACCUGUUUGUGAUGUUUACAAAAUUAUGACAGUUUGAGUUUGAAUUCUUGAUAUUUUUGUUCUUCUUCAGCCGAAUUCGUCCUGGGUUUUCUUUUCUGGAAUCAAAGUCCAAAACUUUUUUUCCCUCCCUGAUAUUUCGAAGAUAUCUUUUCUUGAUAUCCAGAAGGGAGGAAAAAAAAAAUGAAUGAGUUAAGCAAACAUGGGGAGAAGUAUGUGGAAAACCCAUGAUUGUUUAAAUUUCUUUUAUGCCCUUCUCUUUUCAAAAUCUCAUCUCUUCUCACCCCCAACUAUCUAAAUUUACUAUAUGAAAGAUAUAUUAUUAUUUAGUUUUCAACAUUAAAAAUUGAGUGGCUAAUGUAGCAUGAAAAUUGAGGUUGUCAAGAGGUGAUUGGGCAGCCAUUGAUAAGGAAAAGUUAAUUUAAUUAUUAAAUCGUAAUGCCACACUGUAAUUACGACGAAAAUCUAUCAAAGACUAAUUGGAUCGCACAAUUCCAACAAA